UGGGCAUGGACAGAGCCCCCCUGAGGGCGGUGCUGCAGCACGGCGGGCCCGCCUGCACCGAGGCCUUCCUGCAGCACGUGGGCAGGGCCGGCAGGGACGGCAAACCGGCGUGGGGACAUCUGAUACUGCACAAAGGGGGCGAGGAUUUUCUGGAAUUGCGGCGUCACAUCCAUGAAAAUUCGGUGGAUUAUUGGGCGGUCAAGGCUUUGGUGCAAAGAGUUUUUGUGCCUUGUAAAUGUCCAGAAAUUCAGGAAAAUUCCCAGGAAAUCCCAGCCAGGAGGUGCCGAGGCCACGAGCGCGCCCUCCCCGUGCAGGAGCUGGAGCAGAGCCUGGACCUGAGGCAGGAGGG